UUGGAGAGUUUGAUCCUGGCUCAGGAUGAACGCUGGCGGCGUGCCUAACACAUGCAAGUCGAGCGAUUCUCUUCGGAGAARAGCGGCGGACGGGUGAGUAACGCGUGGGUAACCUGCCCUGUACACACGGAUAACAUACCGAAAGGUAUGCUAAUACGAGAUGAUAUAUAAAAGUUGCAUGACUUUUAUAUCAAAGCUUUUGCGGUAUAGGAUGGACCCGCGUCUGAUUAGCUAGUUGGUAAGGUAACGGCUUACCAAGGCGACGAUCAGUAGCCGACCUGAGAGGGUUGAUCGGCCACACUGGAACUGAGACACGGUCCAGACUCCUACGGGAGGCAGCAGUGGGGAAUAUUGCACAAUGGGCGAAAGCCUGAUGCAGCAACGCCGCGUGAGCGAUGAAGGCCUUCGGGUCGUAAAGCUCUGUCCUCANAGGAAGAUAAUGACGGUACUUGAGGAGGAAGCCCCGGCUAACUACGUGCCAGCAGCCGCGGUAAUACGUAGGGGGCUAGCGUUAUCCGGAAUUACUGGGCGUAAAGGGUGCGUAGGCGGUCUUUCAAGCCAGAAGUGAAAGGCUACGGCUCAACCGUAGUAAGCUUUUGGAACUGUAAGACUUGAGUGCAGGAGAGGAGAGUGGAAUUCCUAGUGUAGCGGUGAAAUGCGUAGAUAUUAGGAGGAACACCAGUAGCGAAGGCGGCUCUCUGGACUGUAACUGACGCUGAGGCACGAAAGCGUGGGGAGCAAACAGGAUUAGAUACCCUGGUAGUCC
rnacentral:rRNA from 1 species